rnacentral:rRNA from 1 species
GAUGAACGCUGGCGGCGUGCUUAACACAUGCAAGUCGAACGAAGCACUUUAUUUGAUUUCCUUCGGGACUGAUUAUUUUGUGACUGAGUGGCGGACGGGUGAGUAACGCGUGGGUAACCUGCCUUGUACAGGGGGGUAACAGUUGGAAACGGCUGCUAAUACCGCAUAAGCGCACGGCAUCGCAUGAUGCAGUGUGAAAAACUCCGGUGGUAUAAGAUGGACCCGCGUUGGAUUAGCUAGUUGGUGAGGUAACGGCCCACCAAGGCGACGAUCCAUAGCCGACCUGAGAGGGUGACCGGCCACAUUGGGACUGAGACACGGCCCAAACUCCUACGGGAGGCAGCAGUGGGGAAUAUUGCACAAUGGGCGAAAGCCUGAUGCAGCGACGCCGCGUGAGCGAAGAAGUAUUUCGGUAUGUAAAGCUCUAUCAGCAGGGAAGAUAAUGACGGUACCUGACUAAGAAGCACCGGCUAAAUACGU